rnacentral:piRNA from 1 species
UUUUUUGGUCAAGAGGGGAUGAACA